rnacentral:rRNA from 1 species
CCUACGGGUGGCAGCAGUGGGGAAUAUUGGGCAAUGGGCGCAAGCCUGACCCAGCAACGCCGCGUGAAGGAAGAAGGCUUUCGGGUUGUAAACUUCUUUUCUCAGGGACGAAGAAAGUGACGGUACCUGAGGAAUAAGCCACGGCUAACUACGUGCCAGCAACCGCGAUAAUACGUAGGUGGCAAGCGUUAUCCGGAUUUAUUGGGUGUAACGGGCGUUUAGGCGGGAGUGCAAGUCAGAUGUGAAAACUCAGGGCUAAACCCUGAGCCUGAAUUUGAAACUGUGUUUCUUGAGGGCUGGAGAGGCAAUCGGAAUUCCGUGUGUAGCGGUGAAAUGCGUAGAUAUACGGAGGAACACCAGUGGCGAAGGCGGAUUGCUGGACAGUAACUGACGCUGAGGCGCGAAAGCGUGGGGAGCAAACAGGAUUAGAUACCCCGGUAGUC